CUGGCGGCGCGCCUAAUACAUGCAAGUCGAACGAGAAUGUGUAGCAAUACACAUGUACAGUGGCGAACGGGUGAGGAUUACAUGGGUAACCUACCCUCGAGUGGGGAAUAACUAGCCGAAAGGUUAGCUAAUACCGCGUACGCUUCCCGGACUGCGGUUCGGGAAGGAAAGCGAUACCGUGGGUAUCGCGCUCUUGGAUGGGCUCAUGCCCUAUCAGCUUGUUGGUGAGGUAACGGCUCACCAAGGCUUCGACGGGUAGCUGAUCUGAGAGGAUGAUCAGCCACACUGGCACUGCGACACGGGCCAGACUCCUACGGGAGGCAGCAGUAAGGAAUAUUGCGCAAUGGGCGAAAGCCUGACGCAGCGACGCCGCGUAGGGGAUGAAGGUCUUCGGAUUGUAAACCCCUUUCGGGAGGGAAGAUGGGAUGGGGUAACCCAUUCGGACGGUACCUCCAGAAGCAGCCACGGCUAACUUCGUGCCAGCAGCCGCGGUAAUACGAAGGUGGCAAGCGUUGUUCGGAUUUACUGGGCGUACAGGGAGCGUAGGCGGUUGGAUAAGCCCUCCGUGAAAUCUCCAGGCUUAACCUGGAAAGUGCAGAGGGGACUGUUCAGCUAGAGGAUGGGAGAGGAGCGCGGAAUUCCCGGUGUAGCGGUGAAAUGCGUAGAGAUCGGGA
rnacentral:rRNA from 1 species